UUCAAGUAACCUGGUCCAUGUGCUAAAACAGGUCCAUGGAGAUCAUUUGACUCCUCCAGGUCCCGGGUUGCAACCUGCAGUCUGGCCAUCCUGCAGGCUGGGAAGCACAGCCUCUGGCAGAAACUGCAAUGGAGCACUUCAGAGAAGGAAGGACAAGACAGGAAUUUCAGCUGAACAGGUAGGCUAAGUAUACAUUAUCAGGUAACAGGAGGGUGCACACAUGUGUAGUAAGCAAAUGUGUGUUGCAUAUGUCCCAUGUUCACUCUGGGGUGGAGACAUUUAAAUUAACAUUUAAAUGCAUUAUAGUUUGGAUCUAUACAUGAAAGGUGAUAUGGAGG
rnacentral:lncRNA from 13 species